AAUGACUCUCGGCAAUGGAUAUCUCGGCUCUUGCAUCGAUGAAGAACGUAGUGAAAUGCGAUACUUGGUGUGAAUUGCAGAAUCUCGUGAACCAUUGAGUCUUUGAACGCAAGUUGUGCCCAAGGCCUUGUGGCCGAGGGCACGCCUGCUUGGGCGUCAUGGC
rnacentral:rRNA from 1 species